CGACGGCGCUUGGGGGAGGAGGGAGGGAGAACACACACAGGUGAAACAGAUGGACCAGAUGCCGGACAGGUGAGCCCCCGAUUUCUGGAAAGAGCCUUGUUUCCCCGCCCCCUAGAGCAGCGCUCAGCCCCGGAACCUUUUUCAGCAGCCGAGGUGGAACCAAGAACAACGAGGUUCCUUCUGAGCGUGUGCAGAGCGUGGGCGCAAUUGCGUCUGGAGUCAGUGGGAGGGCUCCGAUCUGGCGGGGUGGUUUUAUACCACCUACUUGUUUUCAAAUCACAAAAUCGCAGAGUUGGAAAAGGGAUUCUGAGAUUCAUCUAGUCUGACCCCCACCCCACCCCCGCGCAAUGCGGGACUAUGUAGCUUCCCCAUGCAGGGAUCGAACCUGCAACCUUCACAUUAUCAGCACCGCGCUCUGACCAGCUGAGCCAUCUCGUUGCUAUGUGCAGCUUGCUACCCCGACGUGGCUUUUCCUCCAAGAAGAAUACGCACCAAGAAUGAAGGUCCUAACAGCAGGUGAUUAGGCUGGCCUGUUUGGUACCAACAGCGAGAGGAAGGUAGCAGGAAAAAACCUUGAUGUUGUGGAUGGAAUUACACAAAGCUCAUAAGAGAAUGUCAGGUAAAGACACUGGAACUUUACCCAGGCAUAUGAAUGACAUCUACAGUGCCAAGGAUGGACAAGACACUUUCCCCACUGUUGCUGUCUCUCAAUUCCCCACUUUUUUUUCCUUUGAGAAGCAACACACUCCACCUGAUCACACUCCCCUGGCAGAGAAUUACUGAGCCUGCAUUGUUCAGGAGCAGCAGGAGCUAGCCUUUCUGUUCCUCAACGCCCCUUCAGAGUCUGGUCUUCUCCAGUUGAUUUCCAUUCAUCAUGAUCCAUGGAUAAACAUCUGAUAGAAGGAAAAGAUGCAGCGCACUAGAGCAGGAAAGAAUUAGUAGGCCUACAGGCAUUCCACAGAUCUGAUCCAACGGCUCAGGAAGAAAUUAUAAACUGGGGUGUGCUAGGCUCCGGAUUGGUCCCUUUCGCUAUAGAAGGUAGAAAGGGGACCCAGAAUGUGCUGCUCCCUACCACGUUGUCCUCUCCUGUUCAUCUUGGCCCUCAACUCUAUGGGCAUUGCUGUCAUUUCCUUCACACAGCUGCCGUGUAAAACAGCAUUGGGCUGUUAUGUUUCCACACUACAGGCAUUUAGAAGCUGCUCUGCACUUUUAUGAUUAAGUGGGCGCAAGACAUUGGUUAUAACAUUAUGUUUGCUGACUGGGAACAGUUAUGGACCACUGGUGUGAAAUUU